GGCUCAACUUGUCUGUUCUACAACCAGCUCCCUGCUCUAUAGGUGACUUCACAGCUGGGAAAAUAAAUCUGGCAACCCUGCUCUUCUGGUCGGGACAGGUGCAAAUGUUGUGGAGCGGCAGACUGGGCUGUGACUGCAGGUGAGGCGCCUCCUGGUGUCAGAAAAAGCAAAUACACUUUCCCAUCUUAGUAUUUCCAUCUAUAAAUAUCUCUCCGCCUGUGCCGCCGCCGCAUCGCCUGGUUAAGAUCCAUCGAUUGUCCAACUGCCCGACAGGUAAACAAGCUCCAUAAAUAAUUUGUCUGAUAAACGGACACAGACACCUUGCUAUAAAUACCCGGGGCACUGUUACUGUCUGAAAAGCAAAUUAAAGGGAUGUUGCUAUGUC